AGUUUGAUCCUGGCUCAGGAUGAACGCUGGCGGCGUGCCUAACACAUGCAAGUCGAACGGGGAUAUAUUGGAAUGAGGAUUCGUCUGAAGGAAAAUGUAUCUUAGUGGCGGACGGGUGAGUAACGCGUGGGCAACCUACCGUAUACAGGGGGAUAACACUUAGAAAUAGGUGCUAAUACCGCAUAAGCGCACAGCAGUGCAUACUGGAGUGUGAAAAGCCGAGACGGUAUACGAUGGGCCCGCGUCUGAUUAGCCAGUUGGCAGGGUAACGGCCUACCAAAGCGACGAUCAGUAGCCGGCCUGAGAGGGCGGACGGCCACAUUGGGACUGAGACACGGCCCAGACUCCUACGGGAGGCAGCAGUGGGGGAUAUUGCACAAUGGGGGGAACCCUGAUGCAGCGACGCCGCGUGAGUGAAGAAGUAAUUCGUUAUGUAAAGCCCUAUCAGCAGGGAAGAAUAAAUGACGGUACCUGAGUAAGAAGCCCCGGCUAACUACGUG
rnacentral:rRNA from 1 species